rnacentral:rRNA from 1 species
GAUGAACGCUAGCGGAAGGCUUAACACAUGCAAGUCGAGGGGUAGAGGAAGCUUGCUUCCUUGAGACCGGCGCACGGGUGCGUAACGCGUAUGCAAUCUACCUUGUACAGGGGGAUAGCCCAGAGAAAUUUGGAUUAAUACCCCAUAGUAUUAUUGAAUGGCAUCAUUUGAUUAUUAAAGUUCCAACGGUACAAGAUGAGCAUGCGUCCCAUUAGCUAGUUGGUGUGGUAACGGCACACCAAGGCGACGAUGGGUAGGGGUCCUGAGAGGGAGAUCCGCCACACUGGUACUGAGACACGGACCAGACUCCUACGGGAGGCAGCAGUGAGGAAUAGUGGUCAAUGGGCGCAAGCCUGAACCAGCCAUGCCGCGUGCAGGAUGACGGUCCUAUGGAUUGUAAACUGCUUUUGUACAGGAAGAAACACUCCCUCGUGAGGGAGCUUGACGGUACUGUAAGAAUAAGGAUCGGCUAACUCCGUGCCAGCAGCCGCAGUAAUAC